rnacentral:rRNA from 1 species
AUUGAACGCUGGCGGCAUGCCUUACACAUGCAAGUCGAACGGCAGCGGACCUUCGGGUGCCGGCGAGUGGCGGACGGGUGAGUAAUAUAUCGGAACGUACCUUUCAGUGGGGGAUAACGUAGCGAAAGUUACGCUAAUACCGCAUAUUCUGUGAGCAGGAAAGCAGGGGAUCGCAAGACCUUGCGCUGAUUGAGCGGCCGAUAUCAGAUUAGCUAGUUGGUGAGGUAAAGGCUCACCAAGGCGACGAUCUGUAGCGGGUCUGAGAGGAUGAUCCGCCACACUGGAACUGAGACACGGUCCAGACUCCUACGGGAGGCAGCAGUGGGGAAUUUUGGACAAUGGGCGCAAGCCUGAUCCAGCCAUGCCGCGUGAGUGAAGAAGGGCC